rnacentral:rRNA from 1 species
AUCUACGGCCAUGCCACCCUGAACAAGUCCGAUGUCUGAUCUCAGAAGUUAAGCAGGGUUGGGACUGAUUAGUACUUGGAUGGGAGACCAUCUAGGAAGACCAGGUGCUAUAGGCA